rnacentral:misc_RNA from 1 species
CAGACAUGACCACAAACUAGCCU